GUGGGGAAUAUUGGACAAUGGGCGCAAGCCUGAUCCAGCCAUGCCGCGUGAGUGAUGAAGGCCCUAGGGUUGUAAAGCUCUUUUGUGCGGGAAGAUAAUGACGGUACCGCAAGAAUAAGCCCCGGCUAACUUCGUGCCAGCAGCCGCGGUAAUACGAAGGGGGCUAGCGUUGCUCGGAAUCACUGGGCGUAAAGGGUGCGUAGGCGGGUCUUUAAGUCAGGGGUGAAAUCCUGGAGCUCAACUCCAGAACUGCCUUUGAUACUGAGGAUCUUGAGUUCGGGAGAGGUGAGUGGAACUGCGAGUGUAGAGGUGAAAUUCGUAGAUAUUCGCAAGAACACCAGUGGCGAAGGCGGCUCACUGGCCCGAUACUGACGCUGAGGCACGAAAGCGUGGGGAGCAAACAGGAUUAGAUACCCUAGUAGUCC
rnacentral:rRNA from 1 species